GGGGCCAGCCUCCCUGCCUAUUCCUAGCCCCUAGGAAAGCUGGCUUGCCAGGCAGACCUGACUCAGUAUGCUGAGGGUGACAGUGGUGGUGCUGGGACCACUGGACCGCCAGUAUCAUGGUGACUGAGGUGGCCAGGCCAGUUCACAGCUGUGCCAGGGGCCAGGUGUGUGGAGUAUACGCUUAGGAUGGUCUGUAUCACAUGCAUGCCCCUCCCAGCACUAGAGUGUCCAGGUGCCCCCCAGGGCCCUGGCCAGAGCCAGCAGCUGGGGUGGGGCCUUUCACACAGUCUUUUGCUCCAAUAGAACCUCAUGGGGAAAGUGGGAGGAGCUUUAGGGUGACUCUACAGGGCACUCUAGGAACCCCAAGAGCCUGCAGGGAUGUGAUAAGUCCUUCUUCUGGGCACCCUCAAAUGGGGUCAGAAAUGUGGCCAGAUGGCUGAACAGACUGCUGGCUGCCCAGGUGGAAGGCAGUGCUGGGAGAGACCCAGGGAGAGUGGAGGCUUUCUGGCGCUGCUCCUGCACAGAUAGCCCAGUGACCCAGCAGACACCUGGCUCAUGGACCUCCCCAGCGGAGAAACCACCCAGGCUUGGAGCUUCAAUUAAGGACCUGCAGAGUGGGGGGUUCUCUCCAGGAGAGAAGGCAGCAGGCAAGUGAGGGGGGAGGAGCAGUUUAGGUCCCAGCCUUGGGGUCAACCAAGGGACCUUAUCUUUCCUGAUUCUGAUCAAACAGCCCCAUCUGCUGUGCUGCCCUCAUAGCUUAGGACAUGGGCUGGCACAGGGGAAGAGUAAGGGUGCUGGCCCCCAACCAGGGUGAUGCUGGAGCCAGAAGAGAGGUCGUGGGCAGACAGGUUCAGGGGUGCAGGAGAGGAAGAGUAGGAUAGGGGUAGCCAGAACAGGGUGCAUAUUGCAGAUGCAGGUAGGGGCAUGCAGAGGAGGCAUGCUGCUGAUAAGCCGCCCCUGCCUGGGGCCUGCAGCCAGGCCUGAGGGGAAUGCAUGCUUAGGCCAGUGCAGGGAAAUUGGGACCUUUGAUGCUGGCCUCACCGAACCCAGCAAACAGUGUGGAGAAGAGAUGGGGUGGACACACAGACCAAGGCCUGCCUUCCAGCAGGGCUCAGGGCAGAGAGGAGGAAGAAACUCUCUAUGUCCUCCCAGCAGGGCACUGGGAGCUUCCCAUAGAGUCCAGUGCCCACAGGCUGGACAGGAGUCAGGGCACCCCUCACCCCAGGUCCCUCCAAGUCAGGCCCCUCCUCAGAAGAGGUGGGGCAUGGUGGGAGCAGGGAGCCCUGUCCCUAGUGUGCACCAGGUGAGUGUGGGCAAGGAAACUUCUAGGCACUUUCUGAACGGUGGAUGGGUCUGGGGCACUGAAUUAUAGCUGCAUGCAAGGCUGAGGUCCCAGGGUCCCUGUGGGAGCACUCGGGCACAAGUCUGACCCUGAGAAGAAAAGGGACCUGGCGCAAAUAAUUCAACUUCCAGGCUGAAGACUCCCGAGUCCUAUCACUGAGGAGAGGGCUUUGCCACACUAAGGGAAGAAAUAACCAUGCUCAAUCUGCCCACCCAGGGGAUAGAUUUUCUUUCCUUUUUUUUUUUUUUUUUGAGAUAGAGUCU